rnacentral:misc_RNA from 1 species
GAUGAAGAACGUAGCGAAAUGCGAUAAGUAAUGUGAAUUGCAGAUUUCAGUGAAUCAUCGAAUCUUUGAACGCACCUUGCGCCUUGUGGUAUUCUGCAAGGCAUGCCCGUUUGAGUAUCAUUAAAUCAUCAACUUCAAAACCUUUGUGUUGUUGAAGCUUGGUCUUGAGGGUCUUGCAGGCUUUUCACAAGUCAGCUCCCUUUAAAUUCAUUAGCGAGACUUCCCUUUGCUGAACCGUCUCUGACGUGAUAAUUAUCUGCGUCAAGUUGGGUUCUCGUUGGGCUUGCUUCUAAUCGUCCUUGGACAACCUGUUUGAAGUGCAUAUAUGCGCCUCUUUCCAAACCUAUUUUGAUCUCAAAUCGGGUAGGUCUACCCGCUGAACUUAAGCAUAUCAAUAAGCGGAGGA